AGACGAGGAACCAGAAGAUAAGUUCACAGCCCUUCAAGAUGCGACUUGUACUCAUCUCCUUGCUGGUCGUGUUGGUGUCUGGGACUGUGAGAGCAGAGAAUGACGUAGACAACAACAAGUAUGUAGAGGUGGAACGUCGUCAAUUAUUGGGGAUUGGGUGGUGUAUCUUCUCAGGAGUAAAAUGUAGUCCUUUUUAUCAAAGACAAAUUGCGGAGUCUCAACCAGCACAGAUACGAUAACUUCAAAUCAGCCCAUGGUUUUAUCUUGAUUAGAUUAAAACGCAAAUGGCGA